UGCAUGUCUAAGUGCAAGCCUCAAAGUACAGUGAAACCGCGAAUAGCUCAUUAAAUCGGUCAUGGUUCCUUAGAUGGUAAAAUUCAAAGUGGAUAACUGUGGAAAAUCUAGAGCUAAUACAUGCACUAAACCCUGACCGUCAGCUCGCUGGCGGGAGGGGUGCAUUUAUUCGAUCAAAACCAAUGAUCGGGCGCAGGCGCUAAAGCGUGUGCUUGGCCGCCUUCCGCUGCCGCAAGGCACGGUUGGUUCGGUCUCGUGCGCGUGUCUGUCGUCCGGACUUACGUUUGAUGACUCCGGAUAACUUCCGCAGAUCGCAGUGGCCUUCGAGCCGGCGACGCAUCUUUGAAAUGUCCGACCCAUCAAGUGCGUUGGUAGGUGAUAUGCCUACCAAGCUUGCAACGGGUAACGGGGAAUCAGGGUUCGAUUCCGGAGAGGGAGCAUGAGAAACGGCUACCACAUCCAAGGAAGGCAGCAGGCACGCAAAUUACCCACUCCUAGUUCUGGGAGGUAGUGACGAAAAAUGACAAUACGGGACUCGUUCGAGGCCCCGUAAUUGGAAUGAGUACACUUUAAAUCCUUUAACGAGGAUCGAUUGGAGGGCAAGUCUGGUGCCAGCAGCCGCGGUAAUUCCAGCUCCAAUAGCGUAUAUUAAAGUUGUUGCGGUUAAAAAGCUCGUAGUGGAUUUGGGCUGGCGGCACGCCCAGUCGCCUCACGGCGGCCUCGGGUGUGUAACCGCUUGCCGCUAGCCGGUAUCCUCCGGGGGUGCCCUUCACUGGGACGCCUUCGGCGGCCGGCAUGUUUACUUUGAGAAAAUUAGAGUGUUCAAAGCAGGCCUAAGAUGCCUGAACGGUGGUGCAUGGAAUAAUGGAAUAGGACCUCGGUUCUAUUUUGUUGGCUUUCGGAAAUCGAGGUAAUGAUUAAGCGGGGCAGAGCGGGGGCAAACGUACUACGGUGCGAGAGGUGAAAUUCUUAGACCAUCGUAGGACGAACUAAAGCGAAAGCAUUUGCCAAGGAUGUUUUCAUUAAUCAAGAGCGAAAGUCAGAGGUUCGAAGACGAUUAGAUACCGUCCUAGUUCUGACCAUAAACGAUGUCGACUAGCGGUGCGCCGACGUCUUCUAAUUUGACUCGGCGUGCUGCUACUCUCGGGAAACCAAAGUGUUUGGACUCCGGGGGAAGUAUGGUCGCAAAGCUGAAACUUAAAGGAAUUGACGGAAGGGCACCACCAGAUGUGGAGCCUGCGGCUUAAUUUGACUCAACACGGGUAACCUUACCAGGUCCGGACAUUCGUGAGGAUUGACAGUCUGAUAGCUCUUUCUUGAUACAAUGGGUGGUGGUGCAUGGCCGUUCUUAGUUCGUGGAGCGAUCUGUCUGGUUAAUUCCGCUAACGAACGAGACUCUAGCCUACUAAUCAAGCUGGCUGGCCCCAGCAUGUUCGGGGCCAGAUGCCUCUCUCUAGCUUCUUAGAGGAACCGGCGGCUUCUAGUCGCAACAAGAAGAGCAAUAACAGGUCUGUGAUGCCCUUAGAUGUCCUGGACUGCACGCGCGCUACAAUGAAGGAAUCAGCGGGACCACCUAGUUCGAGAGGACCGGGUAACCCGAUGAACCUCCUUCGUGGUUGGGACUGAGGCGUGCAAUUCUCCUCAUGAACGAGGAAUAUCUAGUAAGCGCGGGUCAUAAGCCGGCGUUGAUUACGUCCCUGCCCUUUGUACACACCGCCCGUCGCUACUACCGAUUGAGUGGCUCAGUGAGACUCUCGGAUCGGUGUCGGCCUUACCGGUCGCGCGCGGCUUCGGUCGCGUUGCAUCGCCGACUAAGGCCAACGACACUGAAAAGAAAGUCGAACUGAGUCGCUUAGAGGAAGUAAAAGUCGUAACAAGGUUUCCGUA
rnacentral:rRNA from 1 species